UUUUGUUGACAAAAUGAAAAACCACUGUGUAGUUUACUCAGAAACAUCCCUGUAGUCCUGUACAGUUUUGGAAAUAAGCUUCUAACCAUUUUGUUUAUAAUUUCCAGGUUAUGUCGACUCCUGGCCGUCGCUGAUCAACGUCACAAGUGACAAUGAAAUGUGGUUAUCCUGGUUUGUUGCUCCUGGCUCCGAGCCCGUAAUCACUGAUUCAGAUGUCAGACUGGAAAGUCGGCCUGAAGUCACCGUCUAUGUCAGGACCUUUGGCGGCACGCCAAGCAUCGCAACAGGUCACGAAAAUGAAAUGGAGCUUUGCCGCAACCUGUCUGAAGCUGGGAUAAAGUGCACUGAACACCAAACUUACGCUGGGGCUGGUUAUGACCCAUAUAUCUCUUUUUAUCACCACAAUGAGAUCUGGAUCGACAAACCCCAAACCCAGUAAACUGAAUCACUGCAGUUAUUCUCUAUUUAUCCUUUAAAUCAGCAUAUUCACUGUUUCACUUUUGGGGUAGAAUGCCAAGUAUAUGUAAUACAAUCACAGGCACCUUUUGCACGAUCAAAUUCUGCAGUCCUGUUGAAAUGAGCAGACAAAUUGUAGGUAGCUAGCAGACAGACAUGCCUUGAUGCUUGUGAUGCAUGCUGGAAACCGGUUUUAGGAAUGUUAUGGUAUUUACCAGUAGUCCUUCCUGCUUUUUACUGAUAAGUGAUGAUAUUUUUGGCAUCUUAUAAUGCUUCUUGCUUUGCUAUAAUCAAAAAAUAUACUGUAUAUCUGUUCUUUCUCUUAACAAUACAUUUUUAACAGAUUUA